GACAGAGGUGCCAAGCGUUAGGCGGAAUCACUGGGCUUAAAGCGUGUGUAGGCGGAUCGUUAAGUACCUUGUGAAAUCCCACGGCUUAACCGUGGAACUGCUCGGUAUACUGGCGGUCUUGAGCAACCUAGGGGCGAGCGGAACAAAUGGUGGAGCGGUGAAAUGCGUAGAUAUCAUUUGGAACGCCAAUGGUGAAAACAGCUCGCUGGGGGUUUGCUGACGCUGAGACACGAAAGCGUGGGUAGCAAACAGG
rnacentral:rRNA from 1 species